AUGCUGCUUUGUUAUCACAACAUUUUGUACUGUCCUGAAUGGAGAAGGAGGAGCUAUUUCAGUAGCUCUUGUCUUGAAUCAAAAUGCUGCCAAGGUAGCUGCGGCUUCGGAAACUGCUGCAUUCUCCCAAAAUCCUGCACUUGUUCUUGCUCCAGUUAUCCCAAGAGUCAACUGAAGGCUAAGUGGGAAGAGUAGAAGAAAUUGCUUGAGAAGGCAAGAAAUGACGCUGAGAAGAAAUAUGAUGAAAUAAAUGAGCAGAAUAAAAUACUUCAUAGCCAUCUUGAAGCUUUGCAUAUUCGGAAGGCAAAGAAGGAG